GAUGAACGCUGGCGGCGUGCCUAAUACAUGCAGGUCGAGCGAACAGACGAGAGUGCUUGCACUCUCUGACGUUAGCGGCGGACGGGUGAGUAACACGUGGGUAACCUACCUAUAAGACUGGGAUAACUUCGGGAAACCGGAGCUAAUACCGGAUAAUAUUUAGCUUCGCAUGAAGCAAUAGUGAAAGACGGUUCUGCUGUCACUUAUAGAUGGACCCGCGGUGUAUUAGCUAGUUGGUGAGGUAACGGCUCACCAAGGCAACGAUACAUAGCCGACCUGAGAGGGUGAUCGGCCACACUGGGACUGAGACACGGCCCAGACUCCUACGGGAGGCAGCAGUAGGGAAUCUUCCGCAAUGGACGAAAGUCUGACGGAGCAAUGCCGCGUGAGUGAAGAAGGUUUUCGGAUCGUAAAACUCUGUUGUAAGGGAAGAACAAGUACGUUAGUAACUGAACGUACCUUGACGGUACCUUACCAGAAAGCCACGGCUAACUACGUG
rnacentral:rRNA from 1 species